rnacentral:lncRNA from 1 species
GGAAUGGAUGUUAUAAGCAGACAGACAGACUGAGUUAAACUGAGUCAUGAAAAAAUAUAUAUUUUAAAGUUUUUGGAAUCAUUUCCAGAAACUAAUAAAGGGAAUUAUUUACUGGUAGUAUUGAGUCUGUGAGAUUGUAGUAUAUACUGAAACAAUCUUCUGGAUGGUGGUAAGGUCUUUUUUAGCAAACACAGUAAAGAGCUUAUUUCAUUUCUGAUGCUUUCAAGGGCAUAUUCCAAAGUAUCACAGAUGUCAAAUAGAAUAUGCUAUAUAAACCAAAAAUGUGCAUUUCAGAUGACCUAUUACAGCAAUCUCAGCCAAUAUGUAAUAUCACAAAAUGUGUCAAGUCAAUCAUAUAAGAGGAUCUAAUCAUUCGGCUGUAUUUCAUGUACCUUCAUGUUGUUGAUAUAUUGUGACCACAGGAAAUAGGUGCCAGAGCAUAUGCAGUUAAGUUACAGGCUCCACGUUGCCUAGGAGGGAAUCAUAACUACAUCAGAAAAUUUUUAACAGUUAUAUCUUAAAAAUUAGAAUUUUAUGUAAUAAAUAAAGCGGCAACCAGGAAUAGCAACGCAACAAAUAUGAAAGCUAAUUAUUAUAUUUAGCUUUCAUAUUUAUAUAAUAUGAUGGAAAUGGAGGAGGAAAAAUGAGUCUUUUGUUAAAUAUAAAGACAAACUAUAACACUCCUUGAUAAUACAACUGGAAAUUUUACUUUAGCAAGCAUAAAAUAGUGGAGGAAAAAAAUCCAACUUCAAGCUCUUUGCACUAGUGAUGAUUAUGUGAUAUAUCAAUGUAAUAUUUAGCCAGUGGUCAUUAGAUGUUACUGUGCUUAAACACAUCUGAUACUCAUGCAUUGCCUUACAGGCUAAAAAUGUAAGAGGUAGGUGUUCAGUAACCUCAAGUUGGAAAGAUAUAUAAUGUUAGAAUCCCC